rnacentral:rRNA from 1 species
UACGUAGGGUGCAAGCGUUGUCCGGAAUUAUUGGGCGUAAAGAGCGUGUAGGCGGCCAGGUAGGUCCGGUGUGAAAACUCGAGGCUUAACCUCGAGAUGUCAUCGGAAACCAUCUGGCUAGAGUCCGGAAGAGGAAAGUGGAAUUCCUGGUGUAGCGGUGAAAUGCGCAGAUAUCAGGAAGAACACCAAUGGCGAAAGCAGCUUUCUGGGACGGUACUGACGCUGAGACGCGAAAGCGUGGGGAGCGAACAGG